GCCGGGUCGAGCGCGCCGCUGUCUCCGCCUGCCUGCGGGGACCCUCGGUGCGGCCGGACUGCGCUCCUUCCCCAGCCCCUGGGAUGUCAAACACAAAAUCCCGGCUUUAGCCUGGGGUCUAUGGAGGUACAGGUCUGAGGAGUGGACUGCGACGCUGCUUGGCUCACCCCUCUUCUACUCUACACCUUCUUCUCCCACAAGGAUUUUCGCGCGUCCUCCGGCCCAUUAAAUUUCGCGGCGAGCUUGCCUCGAUCUCCGACGGCGGGGGCCGCGGGCUGAUGCUAGGUGCUGAGCUCUGGAACAGGACGGCAGGAUGGGAAGACUGAGAGGCCAAAGGGAGGCGAACGCUUCUCGGUCGUGGUGGCGAGAUUGCGAUUUUUUCAAACGAAAGGCCUAAGGCUGCACGGGUGCCGCCCCAGGACUGAGACUUCACCCACAGGGACGCCUGCGUCCCGGAGUAAUCAGUGCAUGGCAGGUGGAGUGAGAAAAGCAUCCUUGAAAGGCUGUCCUGAGGACGGUGGGCUGGAUCCUGAAAGUCGUGCAGAGCCUCACAAGCGAUAGAGGAAUCAGAUGCACAUUUUAGAAGCUCAUCGGGCUGUACACAUGGUUGGGGAGGGGGAGCGACUGUGAAAAUGGGGCUUUCCUCCCCCUCGUCACCCCCCAACCCCCACCUUCCCUCGACACCAUCCAGGCAGCCCUGUUUCCGCGCUGAGACACGGCAUGUUCAAGAAGGGAAGAGGGGCUUCAGGCUGCGGGCUAUUCCCACUUUGGCCUGGCCCCCAGCCUGGAAUGCAGCCCUUGAGCCUUCAUCCCCAGGACCAUGGGGUCAGGAUGAAUUAGGAAGUUGGAAACUCUACCCCAGUUGGCUGGAAUGCUUUGAUUUUAGGGUUUCUGUCUGUGAACAGGAACUCAGGCAGAAAGUUAGCUUCCCCACCCCCCUUCUAGUCCCUUCUGUCCAACUCUCAGCUCUGACAAGCCCCCGCCCCAGCCUUGCAGCCCCUCUUGGCUCUUGGAUCACUGCCUCCCCGCCCCCAUGCUGCGGUGCGGGGGGGGCGGGGGGGGGCUUCCAUCCCCAAACACAAGCCCUUUGGUGUCACCACGCAGCCGGGCAUCUGCUUUGGCAUCCACACUCAGCCUCAGGGGGAGGAUGAGACGGGGGCUAGUGGGCAUUGAGGGUCCGGGAACCGGGGGCAGAAAUGCAGGCGAUUGCUGGCGGCAGCUUAGACCCUGUUCCUCCCCUGCUCAGAUCUUUUCCAGGGCUCCUGCUUACUCUGGGACACUGGUUCUUAACCAGGAGGGAUUUUAUCCCCCAGGGAACAGUUUUCAAUGUCUGGAGACAUUCUUGGUUGUCACAACUUGGGCUGGGGUGAGAGGCAGGUAUGCUGCUGGUGACUAGUGGGUAGAGACCAGGGAGGCUACUGAGCAUCCUCCGGUGCACAGAACAGCCUGCUCGACAGUUCUCCAGCCCUACGUGCCAAGAGUGCCAAGGCUGGAGGCCCUGCCUGAGGGUAAAGCCCCCCCCCCCCAUCCCAUGCUUCAGGCUGGGAUGCUCUGGAUGCUCACUCCGACCUCAGCCCCUUUGCUUCUGCUGUUUCUCCUGCUGGGGUGCCCUCCCUGCUGCCCUCCACUUACCUUAAUCUCAGUUCUCUCCAGCCCCUCUACCUGUGGGGGCUCUCCCCUGCUGCCCACACCAGCCCCAGCUGCCCCUCCCAGAAGCCGCCUCUGACUACAUGGUACCCUGAUUUCUCUCUUCAUCUGAUCAGCUCCGGGCACCUUUGGCCCUCCUGAGUCUCAGGUGGCACAUCUACGUCAUGGGUGGGCGAGGUGAGUGGAGACCCCGGGCCCCCCGUAGCGCGGACACAGCCCCUCCUGCCUCUCCCUGGGAUGCUAAGCACAUGGGGCACUCAGUGUUGGCACACAGUGGGACCCAUGUGGCUUCGGAGCCAGUGGGCCAGGGUUUGAAUCCUGACUCGGCCACUUCCUAGUAGUUGGACCAGAAGUUAAUCACCAAACAUGUCUGCGCCUCAGUUUCCUCCUUUAUAAAAUGGGUCUUCCAGUGAGAGUUCCACGUGCUGUGCAGUGUCC